UACGUAGGGUGCGAGCGUUGUCCGGAAUUACUGGGCGUAAAGAGCUCGUAGGUGGUUUGUCGCGUUGUUCGUGAAAACUCACAGCUUAACUGUGGGCGUGCGGGCGAUACGGGCAGACUGGAGUACUGCAGGGGAGACUGGAAUUCCUGGUGUAGCGGUGGAAUGCGCAGAUAUCAGGAGGAACAUCCGUGGCGAAGGCGGCUCUCUGGGACGGUACUGACGCUGAGACGCGAAAGCGUGGGGAGCGAACAGG
rnacentral:rRNA from 1 species